rnacentral:rRNA from 1 species
UCGUCAGCUCGUGUCGUGAGAUGUUGGGUUAAGUCCCGCAACCAGCCCAACCCUUGUCUUUAGUUGCUACGAAAGGGCACUUUAAUGAGACUGCCGGUGACAAACCGGAGGAAGGUGGGGAUGACGUCAAGUCCUCAUGGCCCUUAUGGGCAGGGCUUCACACGUCAUACAAUGGUCGGUACAGAGGGUCGCCAACCCGGGAGGGGGAGCCAAUCCCAGAAAACCGAUCGUAGUCCGGAUCGCAGUCUGCAACUCGAUGCGUGAAGUCGGAAUCGCUAGUA